CAGUCGUACCAGCGGGAAAUCAACCUUUCGAGUGGGGUUUUGGAGUUUUGAAGAGUGUCAAUACCUUUGAGAUUUCAAAAUGCUCGCUCCUUUGGUGUACUUUCUCGUAGGUAGGUUAACAUCGAUUUCGAUUCAUCAUAAAAGGAUUGGAGGAAUGUAGCUUCGAUCUUGUAUUGAAGUGUUAUAGCCUUUGGUAGAUGUGAUGUUUGAGACCGAGGAUUGCAACGCAUACCCUUCAGGGCUAUUCGUCUGAUCUCUGAUACGUUGCCUCGGUAACGAAAGCGUGCUUACGGUAUUGAGGUAUUACGGUCAAAAGGUUAGAACGUGAUUACA
rnacentral:rRNA from 1 species